CCUUAGAGUUUGAUCCUGGCUCAGAGCGAACGCUGGCGGCAGGCUUAACACAUGCAAGUCGAGCGGGCGUAGCAAUACGUCAGCGGCAGACGGGUGAGUAACGCGUGGGAACGUACCUUUUGGUUCGGAACAACACAGGGAAACUUGUGCUAAUACCGGAUAAGCCCUUACGGGGAAAGAUUUAUCGCCGAAAGAUCGGCCCGCGUCUGAUUAGCUAGUUGGUGAGGUAACGGCUCACCAAGGCGACGAUCAGUAGCUGGUCUGAGAGGAUGAUCAGCCACAUUGGGACUGAGACACGGCCCAAACUCCUACGGGAGGCAGCAGUGGGGAAUAUUGGACAAUGGGGGCAACCCUGAUCCAGCCAUGCCGCGUGAGUGAUGAAGGCCCUAGGGUUGUAAAGCUCUUUUGUGCGGGAAGAUAAUGACGGUACCGCAAGAAUAAGCCCCGGCUAACUUCGUGCCAGCAGCCGCGGUAAUACGAAGGGGGCUAGCGUUGCUCGGAAUCACUGGGCGUAAAGGGUGCGUAGGCGGAUCUUUAAGUCAGAGGUGAAAGCCUGGAGCUCAACUCCAGAACUGCCUUUGAUACUGGGGAUCUUGAGUUCGGGAGAGGUGAGUGGAACUGCGAGUGUAGAGGUGAAAUUCGUAGAUAUUCGCAAGAACACCAGUGGCGAAGGCGGCUCACUGGCCCGAUACUGACGCUGAGGCACGAAAGCGUGGGGAGCAAACAGGAUUAGAUACCCUGGUAGUCCACGCCGUAAACGAUG
rnacentral:rRNA from 1 species